rnacentral:rRNA from 1 species
UACGGAGGGUGCGAGCGUUGUCCGGAAUCACUGGGCGUAAAGGGCGCGUAGGCGGCCCGUCAAGCGUGUGGUGAAAGCCCGGGGCUCAACCCCGGGUCGGCCGUGCGGACUGGCGGGCUCGAGCACUGUAGGGGCGGGUGGAAUUCCGGGUGUAGCGGUGGAAUGCGUAGAGAUCCGGAAGAACACCAGUGGCGAAGGCGGUUGCCUGGGGCUUUGCUGACGCUGAUGCGCGAAAGCGUGGGGAGCGAUCCGG